rnacentral:rRNA from 1 species
CCUACGGGGGGCUGCAGUGGGGAAUAUUGGGCAAUGGGCGCAAGCCUGACCCAGCAACGCCGCGUGAAGGAAGAAGGCUUUCGGGUUGUAAACUUCUUUUGUCAGGGAAGAGUAGAAGACGGUACCUGACGAAUAAGCCACGGCUAACUAUGGGCCAGCAGCCGCGGUCAUACGUAGGUGGCAAGCGUUGUCCGGAUUUACUGGGUGUAAAGGGCGUGUAGCCGGGUUGACAAGUCAGAUGUGAAAUCCUGCGGCUUAACCGCAGAACUGCAUUUGAAACUGUUGAUCUUGAGUACUGGAGAGGAAGACGGAAUGCCUAGUGUAGCGGUGAAAUGCGUAGAUAGUAGGAGGAACACCAGUGGCGAAGGCGGUAUGCUGGACAGCAACUGACGGUGAGGCGCGAAAGCGUGGGGAGCAAACAGGAUUAGAUACCCGGGUAGUC